AGCUUGUUGAAUUUAUAAUAAGUAUUUUCUGCCCAGUGAUUAAUUUAAAUGGCCGCGGUAUUUUGACUGUGCAAAGGUAGCAUAAUCAUUUGUCUAUUAAUUGUGGACUAGUAUGAAUGAAUUUACGGAAAUAGUAUUGUCUCCUUUUUUUUAUUUUAAUUUUCUUUUUAGGUGAAGAAGCCUAUAUUUUUAAAUAAGACGAGAAGACCCUAUUGAUCUUUAUUAUCACUAUAAUAAUUUUUAUUUUUUUAUUUUAUUUUAAUUUAGUUGGGGCAACUGAGGAGGAAUUUUUAUUCUCUUUUAAUUAUAUAUUGAUCCUUUUUUUUGAUUAUAAGAAGAAGUUACCAUAGGGAUAACAGCGUUAUUAUUUUGGAGAGUUCUUAUCAAUAAAGUAGUUUGCGACCUCGAUGUUGGACUAGGAUUACCUGAGGGGGCAGUUUUUCUCUUGGUAGGUCUGUUCGACCUUUAAAAUCCU
rnacentral:rRNA from 1 species